CAGCCGCCGCGGUAAUACCGGCGGCCCGAGUGGCGGUCACUAUUAUUGGGCUUAAAGCGUCCGUAGCCGGGUUGGGAAGUCCUCCGGGAAAUCUGGCCGCUUAACGGUCAGAAUACCGGAGGAUACUCCCAGCCUAGGGAGCGGGAGAGGCCGAGGGGAUUCCCGGAGGAGGGGGGAAAUCCUAUAAUCCCGGGAGGACCACCUGUGGCGAAGGCGCUCGGCUGGAACGCGUCCGACGGUGAGGGACGAAGGCCAGGGGAGCAAACCGGAUUAGAUACCCGGGUAGUCCUGGCUGUAAACGAUGCGGACUUUGUGUCGGACAAGCUAUGAGCUUGUCCGGUGCCGGAGGGAAACCGUUAAGUCCGCCGCCUGGGGAGUACGGCCGCAAGGCUGAAACUUAAAGGAAUUGGCGGG
rnacentral:rRNA from 1 species